UGGCACUUUGUGAUGUUCUAUGCCAAGUGU
rnacentral:piRNA from 1 species